rnacentral:tRNA from 1 species
UAAGGAAAAGUAUUGUGGAAGUACAAAGAAUUUUGAUUUCUUAAGUGUAGGUUCAACUCCUACUUCUUUAA